rnacentral:rRNA from 1 species
GUGGCGCACGGGUGCGUAACGCGUGGGAAUCUGCCCUUUGGUUCGGAAUAACAGUUGGAAACGACUGCUAAUACCGGAUGAUGACGAAAGUCCAAAGAUUUAUCGCCAGAGGAUGAGCCCGCGUAGGAUUAGCUAGUUGGUGUGGUAAAGGCGCACCAAGGCGACGAUCCUUAGCUGGUCUGAGAGGAUGAUCAGCCACACUGGGACUGAGACACGGCCCAGACUCCUACGGGAGGCAGCAGUGGGGAAUAUUGGACAAUGGGCGAAAGCCUGAUCCAGCAAUGCCGCGUGAGUGAUGAAGGCCUUAGGGUUGUAAAGCUCUUUUACCCGGGAUGAUAAUGACAGUACCGGGAGAAUAAGCUCCGGCUAACUCCGUGCCAGCAGCCGCGGUAAUACGGAGGGAGCUAGCGUUGUUCGGAAUUACUGGGCGUAAAGCGCACGUAGGCGGCUUUGUAAGUUAGAGGUGAAAGCCUGGAGCUCAACUCCAGAACUGCCUUUAAGACUGCAUCGCUUGAAUCCAGGAGAGGUGAGUGGAAUUCCGAGUGUAGAGGUGAAAUUCGUAGAUAUUCGGAAGAACACCAGUGGCGAAGGCGGCUCACUGGACUGGUAUUGACGCUGAGGUGCGAAAGC